UGCAAGUCGAAGCGGUAACAGGGGUAGCUUGCUACCCGCUGACGAGCGGCGGACGGGUGAGUAAUGCAUAGGAAUCUGCCCGGUAGUGGGGGAUAACCUGGGGAAACCCAGGCUAAUACCGCAUACGUCCUACGGGAGAAAGGGGGCUCCGGCUCCCGCUAUUGGAUGAGCCUAUGUCGGAUUAGCUAGUUGGUGAGGUAAUGGCUCACCAAGGCGACGAUCCGUAGCUGGUCUGAGAGGAUGAUCAGCCACAUCGGGACUGAGACACGGCCCGAACUCCUACGGGAGGCAGCAGUGGGGAAUAUUGGACAAUGGGGGCAACCCUGAUCCAGCCAUGCCGCGUGUGUGAAGAAGGCCCUCGGGUUGUAAAGCACUUUCAGCGAGGAAGAACGCCUAGUGGUUAAUACCCAUUAGGAAAGACAUCACUCGCAGAAGAAGCACCGGCUAACUCCGUGCCAGCAGCCGCGGUAAUACGGAGGGUGCAAGCGUUAAUCGGAAUUACUGGGCGUAAAGCGCGCGUAGGUGGCUUGAUAAGCCGGUUGUGAAAGCCCCGGGCUCAACCUGGGAACGGCAUCCGGAACUGUCAGGCUAGAGUACAGGAGAGGAAGGUAGAAUUCCCGGUGUAGCGGUGAAAUGCGUAGAGAUCGGGAGGAAUACCAGUGGCGAAGGCGGCCUUCUGGACUGAUACUGACACUGAGGUGCGAAAGCGUGGGUAGCAAACAGGAUUAGAUACCCUGGUAGUCCACGCCGUAAACGAUGUCGACCAGCCGUUGGGUGCCUAGAGCACUUUGUGGCGAAGUUAACGCGAUAAGUCGACCGCCUGGGGAGUACGGCCGCAAGGUUAAAACUCAAAUGAAUUGACGGGGGCCCGCACAAGCGGUGGAGCAUGUGGUUUAAUUCGAUGCAACGCGAAGAACCUUACCUACCCUUGACAUCUACAGAAGCCGGAAGAGAUUCUGGUGUGCCUUCGGGAACUGUAAGACAGGUGCUGCAUGGCUGUCGUCAGCUCGUGUUGUGAAAUGUUGGGUUAAGUCCCGUAACGAGCGCAACCCUUGUCCUUAUUUGCCAGCGAGUAAUGUCG
rnacentral:rRNA from 1 species